GCCAGGCAUGGUGCUGCCUCCCUAUAGUCCCAGCUACUUGGGAGGCUGAAGCAGGAGAAUUGCUUGAGUCUAAGAGUUUGGAGCCAGUCUAGGCAACAAGCAAGACCUAAUUCCA
rnacentral:sRNA from 1 species